AGGGUUUAAUUGUUGUUUGGCUUCGCUUUCCCGUGAAAACAAAGAGCUAAAGGAGAGAGAGAGAAAGAUAGACAGCGAGGCUCUCGGAUCGCCGCUAAAUAUCGUUUGCAUGCAGGAAUCCCGCCACUUAUGAUGAACAGAAGAAGAGGUAGUACUGGGAUGAAGAAGGAAGGUGUCUCCUAUGGCACGUACUAGACCACUAUUUUCAAUUUUGAACCGACCGGACCAGCCUCUAGCGUUACAACAAAACGAAGCACCCUUUAUCCAACUGACCCCCACUUCAAGGGUAGUACUAAGUGGUCAAGUGGAUCCCCAGUAAAUGUUUGUGAAUAAAGGAAGAUGAGAGAUCCAUUAUAUAUGUCCUUGCUGCUAUCCUAUAACCUUUGCUACCUUAACUCCUUCACUUCUGUAACUGGUGUGCAAACGCAUGCAUGGACGCCCCCGUUGGCUGCUACAUUAUUGGCAAUCCAGCCGAGUAUUGAGGAUGACUGUAACCUUUCUCAACCUUCCUGGUAUUAAGAAACUUUUGCAAUCAAUAAUGUUUUCUUUUCUGUUGGAAAUAGCUAUAUAUGAGAUUCGUACUAAAGUCAUCGUCGGCUAGCUAGAACCAAUUUCUUCCGGUGUACUUGCCUGAGAAAUUAAUAGACAGAUUAAUGUAAAACCACCUGCAUUAAUUAAUUAAAAUCUUUAAGCAA